rnacentral:rRNA from 1 species
AGAACGAACGCUGGCGGCAUGCCUAAUACAUGCAAGUCGAACGAACACUUCGGUGUUAGUGGCGCACGGGUGCGUAACGCGUGGGAAUCUGCCCUUGGGUUCGGAAUAACAGUUGGAAACGACUGCUAAUACCGGAUGAUAUCGAAAGAUCAAAGAUUUAUCGCCAGGGAUGAGCCCGCGUAGGAUUAGCUAGUUGGUGAGGUAAAGGCUCACCAAGGCGACGAUCCUUAGCUGGUCUGAGAGGAUGAUCAGCCACACUGGGACUGAGACACGGCCCAGACUCCUACGGGAGGCAGCAGUAGGGAUAUGGACAAUGGGCGCAAGCCUGAUCCAGCAAUGCCGCGUGAGUGAUGAAGCCUUAGGGUUGUAAAGCUCUUUUACCCGAGAUGAUAAUGACAGUAUCGGAAGAAGUAAGCCCCGGACUAACCUCCGCCGCCAAGCAGCCCGC